AACGAACGCUGGCGGCAUGCCUAACACAUGCAAGUCGAACGAGACCUUCGGGUCUAGUGGCGCACGGGUGCGUAACGCGUGGGAACCUGCCCUUAGGUUCGGAAUAACUCCCCGAAAGGGGUGCUAAUACCGGAUAAUGUCUUCGGACCAAAGAUUUAUCGCCUUUGGAUGGGCCCGCGUUGGAUUAGCUAGUUGGUAGGGUAAAAGCCUACCAAGGCGACGAUCCAUGGCUGGUCUGAGAGGAUGAUCAGCCACACUGGGACUGAGACACGGCCCAGACUCCUACGGGAGGCAGCAGUGGGGAAUAUUGGACAAUGGGCGAAAGCCUGAUCCAGCAAUGCCGCGUGAGUGAUGAAGGCCUUAGGGUUGUAUAGCUCUUUUACCCGGGAUGAUAAUGACAGUACCGGGAGAAUAAGCUCCGGCUAACUCCGUG
rnacentral:rRNA from 1 species